GGUGGGAUUCGGGAGUGGUUUAACCGGCGAUCCUGGAAAGAUCGUGUGGGCGUAAGUCUACCGAGGGUUCGAAUCCCUCUCCCACCGCCA
rnacentral:tRNA from 1 species